rnacentral:rRNA from 1 species
CUACGGAGGGGGUUAGCGUUGUUCGGAAUUACUGGGCGUAAAGCGCACGUAGGCGGACUGGAAAGUUGGGGGUGAAAUCCCGGGGCUCAACCCCGGAACUGCCUCCAAAACUUCCAAUCUAGAGAUCGAGAGAGGUGAGUGGAAUUCCAAGUGUAGAGGUGAAAUUCGUAGAUAUUCGGAGGAACACCAGUGGCGAAGGCGGCUCACUGGCUCGAUACUGACGCUGAGGUGCGAAAGCGUGGGGAGCAAACAGGAUUAGAAACCCCAGUAGUCC